ensembl:misc_RNA 7SK 7SK RNA
GGAUGUGAGGGCGAUCUGGCGGCAACAUCUGCCACCCCAUUGAUUCAGCUGAUCUGGCUGCCUAGGCGGGUGAUCUGGCUCUUCCCCUUCCUCCCUCACCACUCCAUGUGUGUCCCUCCAGAAACUGUGUGCUCAGUGGAAGAGGACGGCCUUCCCCAAAGAGAGAUGACUGGUCUUUGGUCAAGGGUAUAGGAGUAGCUGAGUAGCUGCACUCCCCUGCUAGAACCUCCCAACAAGCUUGUUUACAUAUAUACAUAUAUAAACUCCACAAUUAUUAAGAAUAGGAGUAAGUCUAAUCAUUUGUAUUUCUCAAUAUAGGUAUCAAUCUAAAUUUUAGAUCAAUAAAUGAU